rnacentral:lncRNA from 1 species
CCACCGCCUUCUUCUCCGCCUCCAACUCCUCCCCCGCCGAACGCGAAGCGGCUGGCGGCUGUGGCGGCGGCGGCGGCGGUGGCGGCGGCGGAAGCAGAGGCGGUGGCGGUGAGUCCCGCCCCUUGCGCCGCGGUGGAGGCGAAGGAGGAGAGUACGCAAGCCCCUCCCCCAUAGCAGAGAUGACCAGUCAGCUUACAGGGUCUCUGCUGGGGGACAAUGCAUACGCCCAAUCAGAACCUGAGGAGUGGGCUCACGUCAAUGGUUGGGACGUGGCAGAAAAAGGGAAAAAUACUUGGACCUUCUCUACAGCCUGCUCCCCCAUCUCCCUCAGGGGGAGUUCACCAAUUGGCUGAAGAGCGGAAAGACGAAGCCGACUCAGUCCCCCGCCCCAGCCGAGCCCACCUCCUUUCCCUGCAGUACUGCGACGUUUGGGGAGGGGGCGGAGCACCGUGUAGGAGCUAAAACUGCGCGGCCUUUUGUGGUUUGGGCUGAGAGAAAAGGGCGGGGUCUCGGAAAGGGAAGGGGGUGUGGAGAACUAACAGAAAGACUGGCGCAGUUAGGCUUUUUCGGAAAUUCCAACAGCAACAACCAAAAUGGAGGCAUUAAAAUCGAUCCUGAUUCGACUGGAAACCUGAUUAACAAGGUUAAGGUCUCCUGGCAUAAAGUUCAGUUACAAUGCAGAUAUCGGUGAGACAAAAAAAAAAAAUGACACGAAGAAAGGCUUGUUUACCCACCCUGACCCUGGGCACUAUAUGGCGCUUUCCACCCUCCCUCUCCGCGCUGACCCUUGCCCCUCGCUUCUUAUUCUGCUGGGGCGGGGUUCAGAGGAGGCCUGCCUUUCCUCUGUAUAGCCUUGGGCUGACCACAGCCUCCCAGCUUGCAUCUUGAGGCUGUUUGUCAAGCCGGGAAGUAACAGCUCCCAUCACAUGCAACCAAAAUAAAUACAACAGCUGCAGUCCCCGGACACCUUGCUUAAUUUAAACCUGGGUAACAGUUUAGUUAAUUAUGUCAGUGAUACAAAACUGUUUCUUCGUUCCGCACAUAUUCCCUUUAUUCAUCUUGAAACGUGUCCGCUUAUCUGAUUACAGUCCCUCUGUCUUCUCUUAUUCCCCACCCCCGACCCGUCGCCUGAUGCCCAGGAUAUAUUCAUCGCCACCCCUCCCCCGCGAAUUAAGAGCCCCACUUCUUGUGCUGUCCCCUUAACAACAGCGAACUCUCUUGCCAGUGAACUGAGACUAAUUUUUUUUUGCUGUUGAUGGAAAUAAAUUACCCAAAAUUUACUGUAGAAAUUUAGGUUUAUGAGAAUUUGCCAGACAUUUUGUGAAAUCCAAUCUGAAUCCCAGCCCACUCCUGUAGUACGUUUCUUACCAAAAAACCAUUCCUUGCUUGAUAUUACUCUGCCUUCACACGUGUUGCUAUAGGAGUUCUGACUUUAACCAUCCAAGUACCUCUUUGAAAAAAAACAAAAUUCAUAUUUUAAUUACAUUUCCCUAGUUUCCCUUUAGGGUGUUCCAGAUUGGCCCAACUGGAUACAUUAACCUGUUCUAGAAGGCAGGGAUUCCCAAAUUUCAACCUUUUUCAUACUGUAUCUGUGUAUACUACUCACUGUCCUUUUUUCUUUAAAUAAAUGUAUAUUUUCUUUAAUUUCUUUAAGAAGGAGACUUUAUAAAAGUACUAUAAAUGGAAAACUAGCAUCACCUAUUAUAAGUUGAAAGUAACUGUAAGAAAAAUGAAUGCAAAACAAUGUUUUUAAAUUGUGGCUAGAAACUGUUGUCCACUAAAGGCUCUAAGUCUAAAGACAACUGUCUUUGUUAAAAGGGCAAGCUACCAAGCAUUAGACACACAUUAAAGAUACAGCACUCAAAUGGUAUUUUUAUCAUGAUGUCAUCAAAGGAUAGAAAAAAUAGAGCCGGAAUAGCAAUCACUUUCUCACUAUAUGAGUCAUUGUUUUUAAUCCUGCAUGCGUGUCCCAACUACAGUUAACCAAGGCAUCAUAAGUGAUCUAUGUUACUAUGAGAAACACUGGUAUGGAGGCUGAAAAAGCCUGUACUCUAGAAUCAAGCAGACAUAUUCACAUACUGGCUCCUGCAUUUGUAGCCGUGUGCCUCUGGGCAAUCUACUUUGUUCUCUGACCUCGAUUUCCAGUUUAUUAUAAAUAUGGGAAAGUAAUAAUACCAAUUCAUGAGUUGUAUAGAUUAAAUAACCUAAUCAAUGUAAAGCAUAUCAUACCUACAAUGAAGUACUAAAUACAUAUUAGCUUAUGUAUUGUAUUACUAUAUAGAGAUAAUAGUAUGUAUUAUUCGCUUAUAUGUAUUAUUGUUGAUUCCAGGGUUGGGAAGCACUAUCUAAGGCAAUGGAUUGAAGGUACUACAUGAUAUACUGCAGUGGUUCCUAAAGUAUAUUAUAAUCCCUACACCAACAGCAUCAGCAUUACUUAGGAACUUUUUAAAAAUGCAAAUUCUGGCAAGGCGUGGUGGCCCAUGCCUGUAAUCCCAGCACUUUGGGAGGCUGAGGUGGGCAGAUCACUUGAGGAGUUCAAGACCAGCCUGGCCAACAUAGUGAAAUCCUGUCUGUACCCAAAAAUACAAAAAUUAGCUGGGCGUGGUGGCACAUGCCUGUAGUCCCAUCUACUCGGGAGGCUGAAGCAGGAGAAUCCCUUGAACCCAGUAGGCAGAGGCUGUAGUGAGCAGAGAUCACGCCACUGCACUCCGGCCUAGGUGACAGAGUGAGACUGUCUCAAAAAAAUAAAAAUAAAAAAUAAAUAAAUACAUAAAAUGCAAAUUCUCAGGUUCAACCUCAGACUUGAAUCAGAAACUCUAGGUAUGUUGCCCAGCUGUAUUUUUACAAGCCUUCCAGGUAAUUCUGACAUACGUAAAGUUUGAUGACCACUAAUUUAAAUAGAAGAAGGCUUGGUCAAGGAGUGAGAGGAUCUAUGUUCUAAUCAUAGCCUUAAAGUGAUGUCAGCCAAAAUGAAGGUGUAAGGACCUCUGAAAAUUCUCUUCAGCAAUGAGAACACUGGCAAAAUUGUCAGAACUAACUUUUUUAGAACUCUGAAAAUUUACCAAAGGUUUGCAGCAAUCCAGGGAGUAUUUAUUCAAAUAGCUGAAUCUCUAAGAACAGCCAGUUUUGUGUCAUUUUGACUUGCCCUACUCUAACAGCCACAUGUCCAGCUCCACUGUAGCUUUGAAAACCAACAGCCCACAAUUGUGAAAACGAGCAGGCUGGUAGCCAGUAGGGGAAGUAGAAUGGUGUUGGAGCUCCUUUAAAGAGCUUAAUUUCCAGAGAACUGUCAUUAUUUGACCUAUCUGGUGGUUCUGCAGAUUUUACAAGGCUGCCUUUGUUUGAUUUCACUCCAGGCUCACCCAGUGCAAAGACUUUUCCCCAGGGGUCAUUUGUCAAAAACAAAAACAUUGAUUAACUUUGCCACUGUCUUAGGCAGUGGAAACAGGUGGGGCCAAAUACAGCUUAACCAAACACUCAAAACUGAUGCAGGGCAAGAGGGCCCCAAAACUGGGGCUUAGCCCAGGAAGGUUCUUGGUUUCACCCAGGGAAAAAUUCGAUGGCAAGCUGCUGGUGUUAGACAGCAAUUUUUAUUGAAGUGGCAGUGUACAGCAGCAGCAGAGAUACUGCUCCUUGCAAAGCAGUGGUAACCCAUGGGCAGUGUGCCCAGAGUAGCAGCAUAUGGGCUGUUGGAAGCUGUAUUUAUACCCACUUUUAAUUAUAUGCUAAUUAAGAGGUGUAUUAUUAGAACUUUCUAGAGGUGAGGAGUUUUUAGAUCCAUAUAAGGUAACUUUCAGGCUGUUGCCAUGGCUUGUUGCCAUGGCAUUUGUAAACUGUCAUGGUCCCAGCAGGAGUGUCUUUAUACUAAUGAACAGUGUGGGCAGCUAGAGGUCACUUUUGUUGCCCUUUGCUGGUUUCAGCUGGUUUCUUUACUGCACUCUGUUUUCUACCAGAUCCUGCUCUGGUAAGAGCAGUAGUGACAGGGGUAUUGACCAGCGCUCAAAAAACAAAUCCUGCUGAUCUCCUACCUCAAAAGGAAAAGCUGGAGAAUGAGAUGUCCACAGGAACUUUGAAAACUCUGAUAUGGUUUGGCUGUGUCCCCACCCAAAUCUCAUCUUGAAUUCCCAUGUGUUGUAGGAGGGAUCUGGUGGAAGGUGGUUGAAUCAUGGGGGCAGAUCUUUCCUGUGUUGUUCUCAUGAUAGUGAAUAAGUCUCACAAGGUCUGAUGGUUUUAAAAAGGGGAGUUCCCCUGUACAAACUCUCUUCUCUUGUCUGCCACCACAUGAGACGUUACUUUUACCUUCUGCCAUGAUUGUGAGGCCUCCCAGGCCACAUGAAACUGUAAGUCCAAUAAACCUCUUUCUUUUGUAAGUUGUCCAAUCUCAGGUAUAUUUUUAUGGCAGUGUGAAAAGGGACUAAUACAGUGAAUUGGUACCAGUAGAGUGGGGCAUUGCUGAAAAGAUACCCAAAAAUGUGGAAGUGACUUUGGAACUGUGUAACAGACCGAGGUUGGAACAGUUUGGAGGGCUCAGAAGAAGACAGAAAAAUGUGGGAAAGUGUGGAACUUCCUAGAGACUUGUUGAAUGGCUUUGCCCAAAAUGCUGAUAAUGGUAUGGACAAUGAAAUCCAGACUGAGGUGGUCUCAGAUGGAGAAGGGUGACUCUUGUUAUGUUUUGGCAAAGAGACUGGCAGCAUUUUGCUCCUGCCCUAGAGAUUUGUGGAACUUUGAAGCUGAAAGAGAUGAUUUAGGGUAUCCGGCGGAAGAAAUUUCUAAGCAGCAAAGCAUUCAAGAGGUGACUUGGGUGCUGUUAAAGGCAUUCAGUUUUAUAAGGGAAGCAGAGCAUAAAAGUUUGGAAAAUUUGCAGCCUGACAAUGCAAUCGAAAAGAAAAUCUCAUUUCCUGAAGAGAAAUUCUGACCAGCUUCAGAAAUAUGCAUAAGUAAUGAGGAGCUGAAUGUUAAUCUGGAAGAUGUCUCCAGGCCAUGUCAGAUGUCUUCACGGCAGCCCCUUCCAUUCAUAGGUCUGGAGGCCCAGGAGGAAAAAAUAGUUUCCUGGGCCAGGCCCAGGGUGCCUAUGCUGUGUGCAGUCCACUGACUUGGUACCCUGUGUCUCAGCCACUCCAGCUGUGACUGAAAGGGGCCAACAUAGAGCUCAGGCCAUGGCUUCAGAGGGUGCAAGCCCCAAGCCUUGGCAGCUUCCAUGUGGUGUUGUACCUGUGAGUGCACACAAGUCAAGAAUUGAGGUUUGGGAACCUCUACCUAGAUUUCAGAGGAUGUGUGGAAACACCUGGAUGCCCAGGCAGAAGUUUGCUGCAGGGACAACACCCUCACAGAAAACCUCUGCUAGGGCAGUGAGGAAGGGAAAUGUGGGGUUGUAGCCCCCACACAGAGUCCCUACUCGGGCACUGCCUAGUGGAGCUGUGAGAAAGGGCCACCAUCCUCCAGACCCCUUGGAGGGUAGCUCUCCUGACAGCUUGCACCAUGUGCCUGGAAAAACCACAGACACUCAACGCCAGUCCAUGAAAGCAGCUGAGAGGGAGGCUGUAUCCUGCAAUGCCACAGGGGAGGGCUCCCCAAGACCAUGGGAACCCAUCUCUUGUAUCAGCAUGACCUGGAUACAAGACAUGGAGUCAAAGGAAAUCAUUUUGGAUCUUUAAGAUUUGACUGCCCUGCUGGAUUUUGGACUUGCCUGGGGCCUGUAGCCCCUUUGUUUUAGCCAAUUUCUCCAAUUUGGAAUGGCUAUAUUUACCCAAUGCCUGUACCUCCAUUGUAUCUAGCAAGUAACUAACUUGCUUUUGAUUUUACAUGCUCAUAGGCAGAAGGGACUUGCCCUGUCUCAGAUGAGACUUUGGACUGUGGACUUUUGAGUUAAUGCUGAAAUGAGUUAAGACUUUUGGGGACUGCUGGGAAGGCAUGAUUGGUUUUGAAACAUGAGAUUUGGGAGGGGCCGGGGACAGAAUGAUAUAGUUUGGCUGUGUCCCCACCCAAAACUCAUCUUGGAUUCCCAUGUGUUGUAGAAGGGACCUGGUGGGAGAUGGUUGAAUCAUGGGGGUGGGUCUUUCCUGUACUGUUCUCAUGAUAGUGAAUAAGUAUCACAAGAUCCAAUGGUUCUAAAAAGGGGAGUUUCCUUGCACAAACUCUAUUCUCUUGUCUGCCACCAUGUGAGACAUGCCUUUCACCUUCUGCCAUGACUGUGAAGCCUCCCCAGCCACGUGAAACUGUGAGUCCAAUAAACCACUUCAUUUGUA